GGGGCAGCAUGGUCUUAGCUUGCUAAGGCCGAUGGCGACCGGCGCACGGGUGAGUAACACGUAUCCAACCUGCCGUCUACUCUUGGACAGCCUUCUGAAAGGAAGAUUAAUACAAGAUGGCAUCAUGAGUCCGCAUGUUCACAUGAUUAAAGGUAUUCCGGUAGACGAUGGGGAUGCGUUCCAUUAGAUAGUAGGCGGGGUAACGGCCCACCUAGUCUUCGAUGGAUAGGGGUUCUGAGAGGAAGGUCCCCCACAUUGGAACUGAGACACGGUCCAAACUCCUACGGGAGGCAGCAGUGAGGAAUAUUGGUCAAUGGGCGAGAGCCUGAACCAGCCAAGUAGCGUGAAGGAUGGCUGCCCUAUGGGUUGUAAACUUCUUUUAUAAAGGAAUAAGGUCGGGUAUGCAUACCCGUUUGCAUGUACUUUAUGAAUAAGGAUCGGCUAACUCCGUGCCAGCAGCCGCGGUAAUACGGAGGAUCCGAGCGUUAUCCGGAUUUAUUGGGUUUAAAGGGAGCGUAGAUGGAUGUUUAAGUCAGUUGUGAAAGUUUGCGGCUCAACCGUAAAAUUGCAGUUGAUACUGGAUAUCUUGAGUGCAGUUGAGGCAGGCGGAAUUCGUGGUGUAGCGGUGAAAUGCUUAGAUAUCACGAAGAACUCCGAUUGCGAAGGCAGCCUGCUAAGCUGCAACUGACAU
rnacentral:rRNA from 1 species